rnacentral:snRNA from 1 species
UUGCUUCAGCAGCACAUAUAUGAAAAUUGGAACAAUACAGAGAAGACUAGCAUGGCCCCUGCUCAAGGAUGACACACAAAUUCGUGAAGCGUUCCAUAUUUUU